GACAGAGGGUGCAAACGUUGUUCGGAAUUACUGGGCGUAAAGCGCAUGUAGGCGGCCAAGCAGGUCGGAUGUGAAAUCCCUCGGCUCAACCAAGGAAGUGCAUUCGAAACCGCAUGGCUCGAGUCCCGGAGAGGAAGGUGGAAUUCUCGGUGUAGAGGUGAAAUUCGUAGAUAUCGAGAGGAACACCGGUGGCGAAAGCGGCCUUCUGGACGAGGACUGACGCUGAGAUGCGAAAGCGUGGGGAGCAAACAGGAUUAGAUACCCUGGUAGUCCACGCCGUAAACGAUGGGUGCUAGGUGUCGCGGGCUUUGACCCCUGCGGUGCCGUAGCUAACGCAUUAAGCACCCCGCCUGGGAAGUACGGUCGCAAGACUAAA
rnacentral:rRNA from 1 species